AUUAGCUGGAGUCAGUAAAAUUCUGUCCUGCUGAGCAGUUGGUUAAGCUGGAGCCCCUCUCUUUCCUAGCCCCCACGGCAGCCUAUCCGUUCUGCUUGUCUUUUGCACCUGGCACCUUUGCCAGACAAGCCCCUAGGAAUCAGCCACUGCCCUUGGCAUCUGCCAACAUGUUUUAUUAUCUUCCCUCAGCUGUCCUAAUGAAAGAAAACGUGCUUCUCGUGCACCCCAAUCCUCACAGACCUCUGCUGAGAAAGGCCAGAGUGCAAAAUUGAUUCCAACUAGAGAGAGACACUAUGCUCUAAGGCCAGAGAGAGACAGAAGUGACACAAAAUGGAGAAGGAGAGCUACCGUGAGGAUUCAUGAAAAGGAAAGAUGAGGAGAAAUCUCUUCAAUCAGAGGUUUCUUGAAGCUGAAAAGGAAGCCUGAGCUCCAACUGCGGAAAUUGGCAGAGGCAACGCUCAGAGGAAUAAGCUGGGCUCCGUGGGCAGCACCAGGAUUCUUGGAUUCCUCCCCCACCCUCCAGCCCUGGGAAAUUUCAGCUUGCCUUUGUUCUGCAGGGUUCUUUUCAAAGGGGAUGAGUUUAGUUGUCCUUGUCUCCCUUCACCAACGUUUUUCUUUCUUCUUCCUUUUCCUUGUUCUCCCUUUCCCUCCAUCCUCUCUUCCCUCCUCCUUUUUCUUUUUCUCCUCCUCCUCCCUCCUCUGAAUCUCCGUUUCAGCUGUUAGAUCUCAUUGCCCACCCCACUGGGAUUUCUGUUUCAGGAACUUUAGAAUUCUUUCUUGAUCUAAAGUAGCAAUACCAUCCUGACAACACAGGCGCUGCUCUGUGUGUAUUCGUAGAGAUCAAGACCAAGUUUAGUUAGGUGCUUUAGGAAAAGACCUUUCCUGCGGGAUUUUCAGAGCCUUUCAUAUGCUAAUGGUGUGAAUGUCCAAGGAGAGUCAUUGGAAUACUGGAACCCAAAUUUCCCAGACCUUUUUGACCUUUUUAUCUCCCCCAACCCCAAAGAGUAUAUCCUGAGACACAUGA